AUGGGCGAUCUGGGCGUCCUAAGCCUUGACAAAUUUGCCACUGCCCUUCGCUUGAGGUGGCUUUGGAACGAGUGGGCGGAGCAGCCAAAGCCGUGGGUUGGGUUAUGCACCCCUUGCACCGAGGCUGACAGGGACCUUUUCGCGGCAGCAACGAGGGUCAUGGUUGGAAAUGAAGACAAGGCUUGCUUCUGGAUGUCCCCUGGCUUGAUGGUCUCAGGCCGAUGGACAUCGCCCCUAAAAUCUUUGAGAUCUCCAAAAAGAAAGAUUGUUCUGUCAGGAAGGCCCUCACUGAUGAUCUAUGGAUUUCGCAAGUUGACAUGGCAAAUAGCAUUUCCGCCGGGCACAUACAGGAGUUUACCAUCCUUUGGGAGAAGUUGGAUGGGAUAA
rnacentral:rRNA from 1 species